CUUCUCUUUUCUGCCUCAGUACAUUCGUUAUCCCACCAAGGAGAAGGAGUAAAACCCAAAGAGCUAUUUUUACUUGGAAAUAUCUCAUUGGCAACCUCAAUAAAGAUUCUUGCUAAAGAAUCUGCACACUGAGAUUCUGUACCUGGAUUAAUUUUUGGAAGUGUUGGAAAUGAUAAUAAUAGUGGGAAGUGAUCACUACCAAAAGUAGAUCGUAAUGGAUCCUAGGACAAAGAAGAAGCAAGAUUAGGUGUAGUGACUGUUAAAUCUGGAGCACUUGGGCCCUCGUCAGGAUGAGAACGUCGUGUAGGACGACCAUCAUUUAAUAUACACAAAUUCACUGAAUCAAAUAUAUCUAUUAAUGUGUUACCAUAACUAUUAGAAGAUAAGUAACCCCAGGAUUCAUGGCGACAGUUAAAAUCACCAAGGAUCAUAAAAGGCUUCAGAAGAAUGGAAAUAAUAUCUUUAAUUUCAUUUAAGAUUGCAGAAGAAGGAUGAGGUAUAUAAAUAGAUACAUAACAGAUAUUUUCAACUAAAGCAGCAAUAAUAGAAAAAUCAUUACUGUGAGAAGGAAUAGAGAAGAGAGAAAAGGAAAGAGGGUGUUUCACAAGCAUGGCUACUCCGCCAUGCCCAUCCACACGAUCUUCUCUGAGACAUGAAUAACCACGAAUCUUAAAUAAAGAUCCUGGUUUCAACCAUGUCUCUUGAAGAGCACAGAUAUAAGGUUUAUAUUUAUUUAAUAAAUAAAUAAGAUCACUUUUUUUAGGAGUGAUGCUUUGACAAUUCCAUUGAACAA